rnacentral:lncRNA from 1 species
AUGUUUUUGAACAGUAAGAAAAAUUUCCUCAAUUUUAAAUCGUUUCAUACUUUGUCUACAGAGUCUAUGUUUGUUGGGAACAGAUUCUCUCAUCUAUUUUUAUCGAAUUGUGCAAUAUUUUUAGUGGAAAUUGAGUUGAGAGGAAAAAGAAUCAUUUUUUAUUUACAUGUAUGAAAAUUUAUGAAGAUAUAUCUUCUAAGUACUUGAUUGUUAGUACAUUAGUUAGAGGAAUUAUUCAUCAAUCUGGUGAAGUCAAUAUUUACCAACUAUUUCGCAUGAGUCAUUUCUAGUUCAUCAAUGUGAGAAAAUUCUGGAAAACAGAUUUUUAAAUCUGAAUCUCUAUUUUUCUUUAGACCUUGAUAAAUGUUCUUAUUUGAGAUCUUAUAUGAGAUCUUAAUUUGAUCUUUAUUGCUCUUCAUUUGUGUAUCAUAUUUAGUCUUCAUUAUUGAAAUCACCAGUUUUCCAAACUUGUAAUUAUUGUAAUAAAACCUCUAAUAGCAUUUACUAAAGAGUUUAUAAACGGCAAACAAUACAUAUUCACUUUUCUACAAGUACUUGUAUUAUAAAGUCACAAGUUUAAAAAUUGAGAUAUUCAGAAAUUAUAAAUAGUAAAACGAUAUUACUUGUUGGCCCACAGUUGACAUAGGUACUGAAAAUUAUGUAAGUUUAUGACAAGAAUUCACAUUGGAAUAUUGUGUCACUUAUUAGUAUCGAUCGUCCUUCUCAGUUUAUAUCACUAUUGUGCUCACUAUAACCUUAGUUUCCGGAUUCCCAUUAGGGAAAUUUGGACUAUAUAUGGCGAAGUGGAACUACCCUUGGGUCUCCCCACCAUUCAAAGCCAUACGCUAAUAAUAAUAAUAUAUCACUAAACAGUUGUUGUGAAUCAUUAAAAAACGUAAUUAAAUCGUUCAUCAUUCAAUUAAUAUCUGAAAGUCGCAAUCUAUAGUAAUUGUCUACUUAAUUUGAAUUUAGAAUUUUAUACCCACCCUUUUUAUAAUGAAUGUUCCAUGUUUACCUUUUAUUGAAUUUUAUAACACUUUUAUUUCCAAAGUUUUAAAAUGAAACCAUAAUGUGAAAAUGAUUUAAACUCAUGUAAUAGAACGAAGAAGCAGUGUAAACAGAUUUCGUCGAUUAAACUUGGAUCGAUAUCUCAUCUAAUAAAUUAAUCACUAUGCACUCCCUUGUAAAACAACAUCUAACUUAGAGAAUCAAGAUAGUAAAGAAUCCUUGAUAACAGGUUAUACAUCAGUCAUGAAUAUGCACUCCCUUGUAAAACAACAUCUAACUUAGAGAAUCAAGAUAGUAAAGAAUCCUUGAUAACAGGUUAUACAUAAGUCAUGAAUAUGCACUCCCUUGUAAAACAACAUCUAACUUAGAGAAUCAAGAUAGUAAAGAAUCCUUGAUAACAGGUUAUACAUCAGUCAUGAAUAUGUAUUGAAAUAAUAGAUUAAUAUGUAGCUUGUCGUGUUUUCUAUAUAACAAGGUUGACUAAGUUAAUUCACAAGACAAUAAUUGUAAGAAGAUUGUACAAUAUUGCUCUAUAAUGGAAUAUUAUUUAGAACUUGAAUGAAAAAUAGCCGUUAUGCGAUGUAAUAGUAAUGAAUAGAGAGGUAGAUCGCUUACCAUGGAAGAUUAAAACUAUCUAGAGGGUUUUAGGAGGAUAUGAUGCUGAGUACCGUAAUUCAUUUAUAAAUCUUAUUAUAAUCCUAUAUUGUUGAAUGAAUCAGACCCCCGUGGAAAUGGAGUCACUUCUCCUUCACAACCUCCAUGAAGUGGCUUCAAAAUCAACGAAAAACAUAGAUAUGCCUGAUGUAAAUGAGUUAAUGUAUAAUUGUGAUAUAGUAGACUACUGUAUGCGGAGAAGAAAUUUAUGGUUAACACAUUAUUUAGAGUUACAAAGUUUUCAGGUCAAGUAGACAAAGCAACCGGAGUGGCCGAAAGAAUGUAUUUUCACUAGGUGUUACUACUACAGUUAGGUAAAAUGUACAAUAAUAUAACUAUAUUAUAAAUGUUGAUAAAUUUUAGAUGUGUUGAACAUAAUAUGAAUAUAAUAUACAAAUUAAAUUAAAUCGAUCUAUUUGCUGAGUAUUUAUCGGUAUGCAUCUUAUGUAAAUUAUUAUACAUAAAAUAAGAACUAUUUUUGACCUGAAAAGCCUAGGAGUAUCAUUUGAAGUUUUUCUUUUAUUAUAAUACUGUAAUUCUUAUAACGAUGCUGUUCAUUAUUUUCUUGUUACUUGUUUUCGUUUGAUCUAACUUGAGUUACAUUCCAUCAGUCUAUAUUAAUUUUUAGUAGAAAUGAACUAUAUUACUAAGUUUAUGGUACUGUUAGUUUCAGAUAACUUGAAUAACCGCAACACUAAAAACAUAUUAGUUGACUGUAUUAUGUAAUAAUAUAAUCAAAAAUAGAUAGUAGCUUAUCUCCAAGAUCCUAUAGUUACUGAGGUCAUUUUAUGAAAACUUUGGAAAUAGUCUUCUGAAAAUAUGAGUGUCUAGUUAACUAUUGUAAAUGCAUCAUCACUUAUCCAGUAUAUAAUUUGUUCUGUUCAUUUAAAAAUGAAUUGUUCGAAUAUGAAUAAAACACAUGUACAUGUUUUUCUUUGUAUUUUUUUUAUCUGUUUGUAUGCUUAGAAAAACUGAAUUUUUAUUUAUGUAUUAUUACUGUUGAUGAAUAUAUUUGUACGAUAUUUUUGUCGAAUAAAUGUACCCUUAUUUGAA